AUUGGGGCUCAGUGGUAGAGUGCUUGCCUAGCAUGUGUGGGGCCCUGGGUUCAAUCCUCAGCACCAAUA
rnacentral:tRNA from 1 species